rnacentral:rRNA from 1 species
CCCCCCUGAAUUUAAGCAUAUUAAUGAGGGGAGGAAAAGAAACUAACAAGGAUUUUCUUAGUAGCGGCGAGCGAAAAGAAAAUAGUUCAGCACUAAGUCACUUUGUCUUAAUGGCAAAUGUGAGAUGCAGUGUAUGGAAUGUCAAAUUUCUAGUAUGAGAAAUUAACGAUUUAAGUCCUUCUUAAAUGAGGCCAUUUACCCAAAGAGGGUGCCAGGCCCGUAUAACGUUAAUGAUUACUAGAUGGCAUUUCCAAAGAGUCGUGUUGCUUGAUAGUGCAGCACUAAGUGGGUGGUAAACUCCAUCUAAAACUAAAUAUAACCAUGAGACCGAUAGUAAACAAGUACCGUGAGGGAAAGUUGAAAAGAACUCUGAAUAGAGAGUUAAAUAGUACGUGAAACUGCUUAGAGGUUAAGCCCGAUGAACCUGAAUAUCCGUUAUAGAAAAUUCAUCAUUAUGAUUUUAAUAUUUAUAAUAUUAUAAUAAUGGUGUGCAUUUUUUCUAUAAAGGACAUUGUAAUCUAUUAACAGUUUAUUCAAAUUAUUUUGCUUGCAAUUUAAUAUAGAAUAAAUGCUUUUGAUUUGAUAAAGUGUUGAUAGAUUUAUUAUAUAUAGUGCUUAAAUAUUUAUAUUUUAUAAUAGCAUAUUAAUCAUUGAUUUUUAUGUUUAUUAUAUGCACUUAUAUGAUUAACAAUGCGAAAGAUUCAGGAUACCUUCGGGACCCGUCUUGAAACACGGACCAAGGAGUCUAACAUUUUGCAGUAUUGGGAAUAAAAACCUAAUAGCGUAAUUAACAUAACUUAAUGGGAUUAGUUUUUAGCCUAUUUAGUCUAUUAAUUCAAUCCCGGGGCGUUCUAUCAGUUAUGUAUAAUAAUAUUUAUAUUAUUUAUACCUCUAACUAGAGCGUACCUUGAGCAUAUAUGCUGUGACCCGAAAGAUGGUGAACUAUACUUGAUCAGGUUGAAGUCAGGGGAAACCCUGAUGGAAGACCGAAACAGUUCUGACGUGCAAAUCGAUUGUCAGAAUUGAGUAUAGGGGCGAAAGACCAAUCGAACCAUCUAGUAGCUGGUUCCCUCCGAAGUUUCCCUCAGGAUAGCUGGUGCAUUUAAAAAUUAUGUAAAAUAAUCUUAUCUGGUAAAGCGAAUGAUUAGAGGCCUUAGGGUCGAAACGACCUUAACCUAUUCUCAAACUUUAAAUGGGUAAGAACCUCACCUUUCUUGGUAUGAAGGUUGUGGUUGUGAUAUAAUGUGCCCAGUGGGCCACUUUUGGUAAGCAGAACUGGCGCUGUGGGAUGAACCAAACGUAAUGUUACGGUGCCCAAAUUAACAACUCAUGCAGAUACCAUGAAAGGCGUUGGUUGCUUAAAACAGCAGGACGGUGGACAUGGAAGUCGUAAUCCGCUAAGGAGUGUGUAACAACUCACCUGCCGAAGCAACUAGCCCUUAAAAUGGAUGGCGCUUAAGUUGUAUACCUAUACAUUACCGCUAAAGUAGAUGGUUUAUGUUCAAUUUCGGUUGGAUUAUAAACUUUGAAACUUUAAGUCGGUCCUAAGUUCAAGGCGAAAGCCGAAAAUUUUCAAGUUAUAAUGAAAAGUAAUUAAACACUUGAAUAAUUUUGAACGAAAGGGAAUACGGUUCCAAUUCCGUAACCUGUUGAGUAUCCGUUUGUUAUUAAAUAUGGGCCUUGUGCUCAUCCUGGCAACAGGAACGACCAUAAAGAAGCCGUCGAGAGAUAUCGGAAGAGUUUUCUUUUCUGUUUUAUAGUCGUACUACCAUGGAAGUCUUUCGAAGAGAGAUAUGGUAGAUGGACUAGAAGAGCAUGACAUUUACUGUUGUGUCGAUAUUUUCUCCUCGGACCUUGAAAAUUUAUGGUGGGGUCACGCAAACUUCUCAACAGGCCGUACCAAUAUCCGCAGCUGGUCUCCAGGA